rnacentral:rRNA from 1 species
GACGAACGCUGGCGGCGUGCUUAACACAUGCAAGUCGAACGGAAAGGCCCUGCUUGCAGGGUGCUCGAGUGGCGAACGGGUGAGUAACACGUGGGUGAUCUGCCCCUUACUUUGGGAUAAGCCUGGGAAACUGGGUCUAAUACUGGAUAGGACCAUGCUGUAGGUGGUGUGGUGGAAAGAUUAGUUUCGGUAAGGGAUGAGCUCGCGGCCUAUCAGCUUGUUGGUGGGGUAAUGGCCUACCAAGGCGUCGACGGGUAGCCGGCCUGAGAGGGUGGACGGCCACAUUGGGACUGAGAUACGGCCCAGACGCCUACGGGAGGCAGCAGUGGGGAAUAUUGCACAAUGGGCGCAAGCCUGAUGCAGCGACGCCGCGUGGGGGAUGACGGCCUUCGGGUUGUAAACUCCUUUCAGCCAUGACGAAGCCCUUGUGGUGACGGUAGUGGUAGAAGAAGCACCGGCUAACUACGUG